rnacentral:rRNA from 1 species
GACGAACGCUGGCGGCGUGCUUAACACAUGCAAGUCGAACGGCAAGGCCCUGCUUUUGUGGUGUUCCCGAGUGGCGAACGGGUGCGUAACACGUAAGUAACCUGCUCUAGACUUUGGGAUAACUUCAGGAAACUGGAGCUAAUACCGGAUAGGAUCCCCCGCUGCAUGGUGGGGAUUGGAACGUUUCGGCGGUUGGGGAUGGACUCGCGGCUUAUCGGCUUGCUGGUGGGCUAGUGGCUUACCAAGGCUUUGACUGGUACCCGGCAUGGGAGGGUGAACGGCCACCUGGGUCCUGAGAUACGGCGCAGACGCGUACGGUGGGCAGCAGUCGGGAAUAUGGCACAAGGAGCGGGAGCGUGAGACGGCGACCUCGCGGUCGUGAAGACGUCCUUCUGGUAGAAAACCGCUUUCGCCUGUUACGAAGCUGUAGUGACGGUAAUGGGUAAAGAAGCACCGGCUAACUACGU